GAACGCGCUUCGCUCAAAUCGCGAGAGGAGAGAGGAGCGAGUGGCGGACGGGUGAGUAACACGUGGGUGACCUACCUUCCAGUGAGGGAUACCGCUCAGAAAUGGGCGACAAUCCCGCAUGGGCUUCUCGCUGGUGAGCGCGCAAGCGCCUACCAGAGGGAAGCAAAGCCUUUUGAAGAAAGAGGCGCUGGGAGAUGGGCCCGCGGCCGAUUAGCUGGUUGGUGGGGUAAGAGCCUACCAAGGCUGCGAUCGGUAGCUGGUCUGAGAGGACGAGCAGCCACACUGGGAUUGAGAACGGCCCAGACUCCUACGGGGGGCAGCAGUGAGGAAUUUUCGGCAAUGGGGGCAACCCUGACCGAGCAACGCCGCGUGCAGGACGAAGGUCUUCGGAUCGUAAACUGCUUUUCUCUGGGAAGAGAGAAGGACGGUACCAGAGGAAGAAGCCCCGGCUAACUACGUG
rnacentral:rRNA from 1 species